CUCACACAGGAUACACGGGAUGAGGGAGUCGCGCCGUCAGCAGGGACGGCCGAGAAGACCUCAACCCUGCGGGUUCCACUCCCUGAUGUGUAGCAUUUUAUCUGUUAGAGUAAAUUUCUUUUUAUGCUCCUGGUGGUUCGUUGGAGUUCGAUCUGUUCAUGGGGAUGCUGCUUUGUCUAGUUGUACACAUGCCCUGAUUCGUGUGUGCAUAACAGGAGCAAUUAGGGAUUCGUGAGAUAUGAUGGUGAAGCAACUAGUUUAAUAAUUCCUGUCGGAUGCAAGCAAAUGGUUCAUUUGAUUUCUUAUGGAAGUUGCUAGUAGGGGAUAUCUGCAAGCAGAGUUCCUAGAAAAAGUAUUGCAAGCACAUGCUAGUCUGGUCAUUACCCAGGCUGCAUACAGUAGCAGUAAACAUUGUUAGCUUAAUCCAAACUUGUUAGUCUACAAAUCUACAUCGGUGUAGUAGUAUAGGAAAGCUAGCUUGAGUUGGUUUUCUUUUCUUGUGUUACUAGUGUUCAGCCAGAAUUAGUAAGGUGUGAUCAACGUGGCCGUAUAAUUAGAUUAGGAAAAAUACUAAGUUGAGUCCGGCUACGACUUGUGCCUAGCUAUCUAGCUGCGUUGGUAGAAGUAGUACUAGGAUUAGGAAUUUGUAGUCCAAGUCUGUUAAUAGGUGAAUUCGAUUCGACUAGGACCUGUAUCCGCUGGUGGUGGCUGCGUGUAUAUAUAUACACCAGCCGUGUAUACUUUGUAAUAGUGAGAAAAGAGAAAAAGAAAUAAAGAGGAAGAAAAGAUCAAUUGAGUAACCUACCCUAGUUCAUUCACUACUAGUUAGAUCAAUGGAGUAACCUGUUAUCUCAUUUGCAUUUUUUUUUCAGUAAAAAGUCAUGGCAUUGGUACAUAUAUGUCAUACAUACAUGCUGAUUGCAAUAUGGGAUCCCUGGUAAUGUAGAAACAAGAUAAUGGAACAGUGCAAAAAAAAAAGAUUAUUUUGUUCAGUAUUUUCCAUGUCAUAUAUGUUGAUGACUUAGCUAGCUAGCCUAAUUCCGCACUUUACGGAUGUCCAAUUUGUGUCAAUGUAGGUUAGAGCUGCCGCCUUAUAAACAGAUUGUGACAUACGGGGCGCGUUCUUACAAGAAUCCACUGACCUAGAAUUGUACAUAUACAUGUGAACCUUGCUGUGCAAAUCCAUCAUCUAAUCUAAAUGCAAUGACAUGUAUAGUCUAACUUAAUUCUCUAUCUGUAAACUGCUAGGAAAAGAAAAAAUGUUGAGCCAGAAGAUAUAGAAGCCAAUGCCAUAGAUGCUGAAACUAUGGGUACUAGCAGUUCUAAAGAAAAGGAGGUGGUAAAAGGGCAAAGCCUAGCCCAGUUUUUGAAGCAUCUAAGAAGACUUCUGCUACACAUAUCGUCCAGCAAAGAACACAAGAAGUAAACAAUGUCCUCCAUCGAAGAGCACAAGAAGCAAAAAGUUGUGAACCUUCCUGUGCAACUACAUGUUAUUUUGUGGAGCACCAUGCCAUAUGGAACCUUGCUGUGUAGUUGUGUAGCUGAUGCAACUGCAUGUAAUUUUGUGGAGCACCAUGCAUAUUUGAACUUUGCUGUGUAGCUUGUUGUGUAGCUAAUGCAAUUACAUAUUGUGAAGCACCAUGCCUUGUUGUGUAGCUGUAGCUGAUGCAACUACUGUACUAUGUUCAACUUGUGUGGAGCUUGACUUUUGGGUGGUCCAUAUGCAUGUGAACCUUGCUGUUUA